GAUGAACGCUAGCGAUAGGCUUAACACAUGCAAGUCGAGGGGCAGCACAAGGUAGCUUGCUAUCUGGGUGGCGACCGGCGCACGGGUGCGUAACGCGUAUGCAACUUGCCCUAUACAGGAGGAUAACCCGUCGAAAGACGGACUAAUACUGCGUAUGCUCACAACUUGGCAUCAAGUGGUGAGGAAAGAAAUUCGGUAUAGGAUAGGCAUGCGUCCCAUUAGCUUGUUGGUGAGGUAACGGCUCACCAAGGCAACGAUGGGUAGGGGAACUGAGAGGUUUAUCCCCCACACUGGUACUGAGACACGGACCAGACGCCUACGGGAGGCAGCAGUGAGGAAUAUUGGUCAAUGGGCGCGAGCCUGAACCAGCCAAGUCGCGUGAAGGAGGACUGUCUUAUGGAUUGUAAACUUCUUUUAUACGGGAAUAACAAGAGUCACGUGUGACUCCCUGCAUGUACCGUAUGAAUAAGCAUCGGCUAACUCCGUG
rnacentral:rRNA from 1 species